AAUUAACGCAUUGAAAAGAAUCCGAAAUUUUAAGUCAAAAGGAAAUCUUUUUUAUUAUGGUAAAGAGGUGUAUUCUAGCAGGUUUCCAUUUACAAGUUGGUUUCCACAAGAAAAUGUUUUCGGUGACCUAAAGGGAGUCAAAGAAUAGUAGUAUAUAUGCAGCAUUGCUGGGAAGUGAAGCAGAUACCUUUUUGCAAAUCCAUAGAUCUAAAAAUUAGAAGAAGCAAGAAGGAGCAAUUAAGUAAAAUCGAG
rnacentral:lncRNA from 1 species